UGGUCAAUCUCUUCUUGGGCACGCUUCAACGCACGCCUAUUGUUCACCAAGCUUGACAAGGCCCAUAUCGUAGUGAUUGCUGUAGUAUCAGAUCCUGCAAGGAUAAUGGCCGUUGUUGUAGCCUUGAUAAUGGUUUCACGCUUAAGGCCCAUUGAGGCAUCGUCCUCGACAACUGAAAGCAUAACAUCGAUGAAGUCCUUUUUGGAAUCAUUAUCUGUCUUCUUCAUCUUGUGUUCUUCAAUCCAACUGUCAAUGAUUACAUCAACUUCACUGGUCACACGCUUCAUGGUUUUCACAAUUCCUUUAAUAUCUAACCAUCCCAGGAGUGGAAUUAGAUCUCCAGGAACAAGAGCCCCUGUUACGAACAUGAACUCCCUGACAAUUUCCCCAAUUGGACGUCCCUUCUCGUCCCUCGCUUCUUUAUUGCCAUCGAA
rnacentral:misc_RNA from 1 species